rfam:Schistosoma rodhaini strain Burundi genome assembly, scaffold: SROB_scaffold0004568
AUCCAGCUGACGAAUCCAAAAUAGGACGAAACGUGCUUCAAACUGGAU